UACGGGGGGAGCAAGCGUUGUUCGGAAUCACUGGGCGUAAAGGGCGUGUAGGCGGCUGGAUAAGUGAGAUGUGAAAUGCCUCGGCUCACCCGAGGCACUGCAUCUCAUACUGUCCAGCUUGAGUACGGGAGAGGAUGGGGGAAUUCCUGGUGUAGCGGUGAAAUGCGUAGAUAUCAGGAGGAACACCAGUGGCGAAGGCGCCCAUCUGGCCCGAUACUGACGCUGAGGCGCGAAAGCUAGGGGAGCGAACGGG
rnacentral:rRNA from 1 species